rnacentral:tRNA from 1 species
GCCUGGGUGGCUCAGUCGGUUGAGCAUCUGACUUCGGCUCAGGUCACGAUCUCACAGUUCGUGAGUUCGAGCCCCGCGUCAGGCU